rnacentral:rRNA from 1 species
GCUUACACAUGCAAGUCGAACGGUAACGCGGGGCAACCUGGCGACGAGUGGCGAACGGGUGAGUAAUACAUCGGAACGUGCCCAGUAGUGGGGGAUAGCCCGGCGAAAGCCGGAUUAAUACCGCAUACGACCUACGGGUGAAAGCGGGGGACCGCAAGGCCUCGCGCUAUUGGAGCGGCCGAUGUCAGAUUAGGUAGUUGGUGGGGUAAAGGCCUACCAAGCCGACGAUCUGUAGCUGGUCUGAGAGGACGACCAGCCACA